GGAACACCCCCUGCGUCCCUUUCCUCCCCUGAACUAACCUCUUGCGCGGGCGAACACCGAAACCAAAUCGCCAGUCGUGUCUAGGGCGGUCAAAGCACGCCACCGUCGACCGCGUGCUACGCUGUAGCCAUGACCUGGGGAUACCGCCCAGGAGGUUCGCCUUGUUGUGUCGCGCGUGCGCGACCACCUUGGGAGGGCGGAAACCAGCCGUUCGUUCCUCAAUUGCUCGCCGACGCCAAGGAUCCCUGGGCUUUCCGUCGUGCGUCGUGGUCGGGUCGUCUGAGUGCAUAAUCCGCGGAUUCACCGUCAAUGGCGCCGCCGUGGUGGGUGUUCUCCGUCACCGACGGUGUGUCAGGGAGAGAAGACCCUUCCGCCGUGGAUCAAUGGAUGAACGAUUGUGAUUAGAAGGCCCGCGUACCCUUUCGUGGUCAGAUCUAUGUCGUCUGAUUCAAAUCAUGUGUAUGGGGGGCAAUCUUAGUACUUUAAACUCCAGGGCCGUUGAUCUCAGAUCCUGCGGUCAUAAAAGGGUACCGGUUCACACGAUGGCUGAUUUGAUCUUGGCGGUCCGAUGUAGAUCGAUCGGCUCACAGCAGAAAAUACCCCUUCGCCCUAACCACUUUACUAAAGAGACCCUGUAUUUAUUCGCAUUUAACCCGCAGUCCACCUCGGGUUAACCUGAGUCUUAGAACUUUUUAUGAUGUAGCCCCUGUAUUCUUUAGUAAUUUUGCG
rnacentral:lncRNA from 7 species